rnacentral:rRNA from 1 species
CUGACUGCUAUCGGAUUGGUACUAAGCCAUGUGAGUCGUUGUAGCAAUACAAGGCAUACGGCUCAGUAACACGUAGUCAAUCUAACCUAUGGACGGGGAUAACCUCGGGAAACUGAGGAUAAUACCUGAUAGAUCAUAAUGCCUGGAACGGUUUAUGGUCCAAAUGAUUCGUCGCCGUAGGGUGGGACUGCGGCCUAUCAGCUUGUUGGUGAGGUAAUGGCCCACCAAGGCUAUUACAGGUACGGGCUCUGAGAGGAGUAGCCCGGAGAUGGGUACUGAGGCACGGACCCAGGCCCUAUGGGGCGCAGCAGGCGAGAAACCUUUGCAAUGUGCGCAAGCACGACAAGGUUAAUCCGAGUGUUUCCUGCUAAAGGAAUCUUUUGUUAGUUGUAAAACCACUGAUGAAUAAGGGGUGGGCAAGUUCUGGUGUCAGCCGCCGCGGUAAAACCAGCACCUCAAGUGGUCAGGAUGAUUAUUGGGCCUAAAGCAUCCGUAGCCUGUUCUGAAAGUUUCCGGUUAGAUCCAUUAACUCAACUAAUGGGCUGCCGAAAAUACUGCAGAACUAGGGAGUGGGAGAGGUAGACGGUACUCGGUAGGAAGGGGUAAAAUCCUUUGAUCUAUUGAUGACCACCUGUGGCGAAGGCGGUCUACCAGAACACGUUCGACGGUGAGGGAUGAAAGCUGGGGGAGCAAACCGGAUUAGAUACCCGGGUAGUCCCAGCUGUAAACGAUGCAAACUCGGUGAUGCCCUGGCUUGUGGCCAGUGCAGUGCCGCAGGGAAGCCGUUAAGUUUGCCGCCUGGGAAGUACGUACGCAAGUAUGAAACUUAAAGGAAUUGGCGGGGGAGCACCACAAGGGGUGAAGCCUGCGGUUCAAUUGGAUUCAACGCCGGA